rnacentral:rRNA from 1 species
MAAGAGUACGUAGAAACCGUUCAGGGGUAAACCUGAGAAACCCGAAAGGUCGAAAGGGGAAAUUCAUUCGCGUUUCGGUCAUUGGAGUUGGAUGUUAGCAUGACGGUUGAUACGUUUACGUGUCGAUUGCAUCUUUCGUUCAUCUAACYAAUGUCGAACGUGUGCACUUUUCCUCUAGUAGGACGUCGCGAUUCGUUGGGUGUCUGUCUAAGACUUGGGGUGGAGUUCGUAUGAUACAAUUUAUUUGUAUYAUACGAACACUCAAUGUGCCGACAGACUCGCUCGACGGUAUGCUAAUGGCGCGGGGCCGCUACUCAGUUAGCGUUCGGACCGUAGCAAGCACGUUCUGUGUUUGAUGGCAAUCGGACCUAGUGCCGAUUCUGUCCCAGAAUGACUGUUGGUUGCGGUUUUUAUAGAACUGACCUCAUUGAAACGCCGAUCAGCGACGCUAUAGCUUUGGGUACUUUCAGGACCCGUCUUGAAACACGG